AUGUGGAACGAUGAGCUGCAGGUUUCUAUAUAUAGUGCUUCCUUUCAUGCUAUUUUAGCUAAUGUUAUUCAUAGGGCCUCGGGUAUUGAGUUUGGUUUAGUUUGCAUCUAUGGUGAUCCAUACCACCGUCAAACUAAGGCUAUUUGGGCCCAGGUUGCUAAUUUUGUGUAUGAUAACUUAGGCAAGCCUAUGUUAUGUAUGGGUGACUUGAAUGAUAUCCUGUAUGAUAUUGAUAAGUGCAAUGCUAAUGUUAAUUUUUGUCGUAUGUCUGCUUUUCGUGCUUUGAUAAAAAAUUGUGGGUUCUUUGACAUUGGUUAUAGUGGGCCGGCUUACACUUGGCGCAAUAAGCAGCACACGGUUAAUCCUAUCUAUCAACGUUUGGAUCGUUGUUUAGUCAAUCCGAAUUGGUGUACUAUUUACCCUAAUACGAAAGUGCUAAAUUUACCUAUCAUUUUAAGCGAUCAUGCACCUAUUCUGAUUUCCACAGAGGGUCAGUUUUGUAAACCUAAGCAAUCUUUCAAAUUUGAAAUUGGUGGUUGCUAG
rnacentral:rRNA from 1 species